rnacentral:tRNA from 1 species
GGUGAGGUGGCCGAGUAGGUCGAAGGCGCUCGCCUGCUAAGCGAGUAGAGGUAAUCCCUCUCGAGGGUUCGAAUCCCUCCCUCACCGCCA